rnacentral:rRNA from 1 species
AACGAACGCUGGCGGCAGGCCUAACACAUGCAAGUCGAACGCCGUAGCAAUACGGAGUGGCAGACGGGUGAGUAACACGUGGGAACAUACCCUUCGGUUCGGGAUAACUCAGGGAAACGUUGAGCUAAUACCGGAUACGUCCGCGAGGAGAAAGAUUCAUCGCCGGAGGAUUGGCCCGCGUCUGAUUAGCUUGUUGGUGAGGUAAUGGCUCACCAAGGCGACGAUCAGUAGCGGUCUGAGAGGAUGAUCAGCCACAUUGGGACUGAGACACGGCCCAAACUCCUACGGGAGGCAGCAGUGGGGAAUAUUGGACAAUGGGCGGCAAGCCUGAUCCAGCCAUGCCGCGUGAGUGAUGAAGGCCCUAGGGUUGUAAAGCUCUUUUACCC